GGGAAGAGCGCGCGACCGAACAGCGAGGGGGCGGGGAAACACCCCACCAAGGCGACGAACGGUAGCCCGGCCAGAGAGGGAGACCGGCCACAGAGGGACAGAGACACGGCCCACACCCCGACGGGAGGCAGCAGUAGGGAAUAUUGCGCAAUGGGGGGAACCCUGACGCAGCAACGCCACGUGUGGGAAGAAGCAUUUCGGUGUGUAAACCACUGUCGGAAAGGAAUAACGGAAGACUUCGGUCUUUAUGAAUGUACUUUUAGAGGAAGCACCGGCAAACUUCGUGCCAGCAGCCGCGGUAAUACGAGGGGUGCAAGCGUUGUUCGGAAUCACUGGGCGUAAAGGGAGCGUAGGCGGAAGUGCAAGCAAUCUGUAUAAUCCUGGGGCCCAACCCCAGUUCUGCAGAUUGGACUGUAUUUCUUGAAUAGUUCAGAGGCAAGCGGAAUUUCUGGUGUAGCGGUGGAAUGCGUAGAGAUCAGAAAGAACACCAAUGGCGAAGGCAGCUUGCUGGGGACUUAUUGACGCUGAGGCUCGAAAGUGUGGGCCAGCAAAGAGCAUUAGAUACCCCGGUAAGUCCACACUGUAAACGAUGCAUACUGGGUGUCCGAAAUUCGUUUCGGGUACCGUAGCUAACGCGUAAAGUAUGCCGCCUGGGGAGUACGUACGCAAGAAUGAAACUCAAAAGGAAUUGACGGGGGCCCGCACAAGCGGAGGAACAUGUGGUUUAAUUCGAUGAUACGCGAGGAACCUUACCCGGGCUUGAAAGUUAGUGACGGACUUGGAAACAGGUCUUCCCUUCGGGGCACGAAACUAGGUGCUGCAUGGUUGUCGUCAGCUCGUGCCGUGAGGUGUCGGGUUAAGUCCCAUAACGAGCGCAACCCCUGUCGUUAGUUGCCUGCAUGUAAUGAUGGGGACUCUGACAAGACUGCCGGUGUAAACCGCGAGGAAGGUGGGGAUGACGUCAAAUCAGCACGGCCCUUAUGUCCGGGGCGACACACGUGUUACAAUGGUCGGUACAGCGAGCAGCCACUUGGUGACAAGGAGCUAAUCUCAAAAGCCGAUCUUAGUUCGGAUCGGAGUCUGCAACUCGACCCCGUGAAGCCGGAUUCGCUAGUAAUCGCGCAUCAGACAUGGCGCGGUGAAUACGUUCCCG
rnacentral:rRNA from 1 species